rnacentral:rRNA from 1 species
CAGUAGCCGCGGUAAAACGUAGGGUGCAAGCGUUGUCCGGAAUUAUUGGGCGUAAAGAGCUCGUAGGCGGUUUGUCGCGUCUGCUGUGAAAACGCGAGGCUCAACCUCGCGCCUGCAGUGGGUACGGGCAGACUAGAGUGUGGUAGGGGAGAUAGGAAUUCCUGGUGUAGCGGUGGAAUGCGCAGAUAUCAGGAGGAACACCGAUGGCGAAGGCAGAUCUCUGGGCCAUUACUGACGCUGAGGAGCGAAAGCGUGGGGAGCGAACAGGAUUAGAUACCCCAGUAGUCCCUGUCUCUUAUAC